rnacentral:rRNA from 1 species
AUUGAACGCUGGCGGCAUGCCUAACACAUGCAAGUCGAACGGGUGGCGGACGGGGGAGUUAAUUUUUGGAAACGUCCCGAUGGAGGGGGAUAACCACUUGAAACGGUAGCCUAUUCCGCAUACCUACGGAAGCGGCCAGAUGGGAUUAGCUAGUUGGUGGGGUAAAGGCUCACCUAGGCGACGAUCCCUAGCUGGUCUGAGAGGAUGAACAGCCACACUGGAACUGAGACACGGUCCAGACUCCUACGGGAGGCAGCAGUGGGGAAUAUUGGACAAUGGGCGCAAGCCUGAUGCAGCCAUGCCGCGUGUAUGAAGAAGGCCUUCGGGUUGUAAAGUACUUUCAGCGGGGAGGCGUUACCCACAGAAGAAGCACCGGCUAACUACGUGCCAGCAGCCGCGGUAAUUC